CGCCACACACGCAUCCAAGUUCCAAGCCGACGGGAUCCCGGUCGAAUCUCCCGCACCCCCCACGCGAACGCAUCUCCUCCACACUCCGCAGCCGCAAGUUUCUGCCUGGAGCGAAUUCCACUUGUCUCUUCUUCCUCCCUCGCCUCCGCCUCCGCCUCCCCACGCUGCGGUCUGCGGCGCUAUAAAAACGACUCUCCCGGCGGGUUUCCGCCCGCCUCCUGAGCCCUGUCUGGCCCAGCAGCACGACCGCACAGGCAGCUGCGUGCGCCAUUGCACACCUCCGCCCGGCGGGCGGCCGCGUCUGCUUCCACCCUCGCUCGGCCCCUCCGCGCGUGCCACCUCCCCGCUCACGCACCAGGCAUGAAGGUGUUUGGUUGUUGCAGGUCUGGCGCCUCCGUACAGGCGGCGUGCUCGUGUUUGCUGAUGUUCAUCUAAUUGUAUCGCCGGGGGAAAGAGUAAUUGCCAAGACAAGUGAAGGGAGAGGUUGAAGGCCAUUAAUUAAUCACGGGGUUGAACAUUGUGAGCACAUACAGAAUGAUUGGCUAAAUCUUAGUCUUACAUCGCUGUCUUUCCUAUCGUUGUACUGCAAGGCAACCACCAGCUCGAUAGAAGCAUAUAAGCAGGCUUAACGAUCAAUAAUUGUAAAAAGGUAGCUUAUGUAAUAGCAGUAUAGCGUUCUUUCCCCCUUUUUUUCCCUUGAAGGAGUCACAAGGACCUAUGCUAAAAUAGCAUUAUGGUCUAAAUCAUGCAGCAUCACUUUUUUUCUGUGCCAUGUCAUCUAAUUCUUUA